UCAAGCUACUAAGGGCAUACGGUGGAUGCCUAGGCGCCAAGAGCCGAAGAAGGACGCGGUAAGCUGCGAAAAGCCACGGGGAACUGCAAGCAAGUAUUGAUCCGUGGAUAUCCGAAUGGGGAAACCCGGCCAUCGUCAUGGAUGGUCACCCGCAAGGGAGGGAACCUGGGGAACUGAAACAUCUAAGUACCCGGAGGAAGAGAAAUCAAACGAGAUGCCCACAGUAGCGGCGAGCGAAGAGGGCAGAGCCCAAACCGAGAAGCUCCGGCUUUUCGGGGUUGAGGACCGGCAGAAUCGAAGUCAGGCCUAGUUGAAUUACCUGGAAAGGUAAGCGAGAGAGGGUAAAAGCCCCGUAGACGAAAGGCAGAGCAGAGAGGCCGAGAUCCAGAGUACCACGAAGCACGAGGAAUUUUGUGGGAAGCAGGGGGGACCACCCUCCAAGGCUAAAAACUACUUGGCGACCGAUAGCGCAUAGUACCGUGAGGGAAAGGUGAAAAGAACCCCGGGAGGGGAGUGAAAUAGUACCUGAAACCGUAUGUCUACAAGCAGUCGAAGCGAAAGCGACGGCGUGCCUAUUGAAGAAUGAACCAACGAGUUAUCUGCACUAGCGAGGUUAAGUGGAAGACACGGAGCCGCAGCGAAAGCGAGUCUUAAGAGGGCGCUAGUUAGUGUAGGUAGACCCGAAACCGCAGUGAUCUACCCAUGUCCAGGUUGAAGCGCAGGUAAAAUUGCGUGGAGGACCGAACCGGUGAGCGUUGAAAAGCUUUCGGAUGAGAUGUGGGUAGGGGUGAAAUUCCAAUCGAACGCGGAGAUAGCUGGUUCUCCCCGAAAUAGCUUUAGGGCUAGCCUGAGGUAGUAAGUAUAGGCGGUAGAGCACUGAUCGGGCUAGGGGCCGUAAAGGUUACCGAACCCUGUCAAACUCCGAAUGGAUAUACUGUAGAGCCUUGGAGUCAGACUACGAGUGAUAAGAUCCGUGGUCAAAAGGGAAACAGCCCAGACCACCAGCUAAGGUCCCCAAUGUCGUACUAAGUGGAAAAGGAUGUGGGGUUUCAUAAACAACCAGGAUGUUGGCUCAGAAGCAGCCACCAUUUAAAGAGUGCGUAAUAGCUCACUGGUCGAGAGACCCUGCGCCGAAGAUUCCCGGGGCUAAAGUACGAAACCGAAGCUGUGGCUGUAUACGUAAAGUAUACGGGGUAGGGGAGCGUUCCCAUAGGGUAGAAGUCGAACUGGAAGGUUCGGUGGACUUGUGGGAAGUGAGAAUGUUGGUAUGAGUAGCGAAAAGAAAGGUGAGAAUCCUUUCCACCGAAAGCAUAAGGAUUCCUGAGCAACGAUCGUCGUCUCAGGGUAAGUCGGGACCUAAUCCGAGGCAGAGAGCGUAGGAGAUGGACAACUGGUUGAUAUUCCAGUACCGGUAGUAAUUGUUUGAGCAAUGGAGUGACACAGAAGGGCAGGCAAGCAUGCGAAUGGAAGAGCAUGUGUAAGCGUGUAGGGUGGUGCAUAGGCAAAUCCGUGCACUGAAAGCCUGAGGCGUGAUGCGGAGUGAGCAGAGAUGCGAGCGAAGUUGUUGACCCCACACUGUCGAGAAAAGCUUCUAGUGAGAGAGCUACCGCCCGUACCGUAAACCGACACAGGUAUGCGGGGAGAGAAUCCUAAGGUGCGCGGGAGAACCCUCGUUAAGGAACUCGGCAAAAUGUACCCGUAACUUCGGGAUAAGGGUAGCCACUGUUGUGAAGUCCCAUGCGGAUGGAGCAUAGAGUGGUCGCAGAGAAGAGGCCCAAGCGACUGUUUACCAUAAACACAGGUGCCUGCUAAAGCGAAAGCUGACGUAUAGGUGCUGACACCUGCCCAGUGCCGGAAGGUUAAGGAAGGAUGUUCGGAUUAGUCCAAAGCAUUCGACUGAAGCCCCGGUGAACGGCGGCCGUAACUAUAACGGUCCUAAGGUAGCGAAAUUCCUUGUCGGGUAAGUUCCGACCCGCACGAAAGGUGUAACGAUUUGGGCACUGUCUCAACGAGGGACCCGGUGAAAUUGAA
rnacentral:rRNA from 1 species